CGUACGUAGCAGAGCAGCUCCCUCG
rnacentral:piRNA from 5 species